GUGAGGGACCUGGAGAAGACAGAGGGGGGUAGGGUAAGGUCCUUGACGGUCACACGGCAUAUGUGUAAAUUCCUGUGUCCAUCAGGGUGUACAAGGUCCUGGCUCUCUCCACCGAGUCUUGGGGGAGCCAAUUCAUUCCACAUACUCUAAGAAAUCUCCAUGGGCGCCUACACUGGCCUCGCUGCUGUGUGUUGUAAUGGUUUACUGUCAUGUUUUCUGGACAAGACCAGCCUAGUGGAGACAACACUAAAUGCAUACAGAAACAGGAGGACUUUGAGUUCAAGGCCAGCAUGGACUACAUAGACCAGGUCCAUCUCAAAACAACAACGACAGCAACAACAACAAAGAAAGAACAACGCCCAUUAAAAACUACAAGCAGAGCAACACAAAAACAGGUUGUGUGAGGCUGAAAUGGCAGCAUGCCCUGAGCAGGACCCCUGGCACGGAGCCAGCAUUCUGUAAAUGGCAGUGGCAGACAGCUGACGUGCGUGUAUUAAACAUUUAACGCUACCUCACAGAUGGACAGACUGAAACUUGCAGAACGUAAACCCUUGCAUAGAGCCACGGAGCCAGCCAGUGGCAGAGGCAGGAUUCUCGGUGACUGGGCUCACAGUGGGAAGUACAACCCCAUGGCGGCAGGAAGACAGAAACAACACUACCUUCUGGCUUGUAUCUCAGGUUCUUGUGAAUUUGGCUGGUUAGGACCCUAUGGCCUCGAGAAGCCUUGGAAUCUACAGAGCUAAGUCUACCAUCCUGUGACACCUGGAUUCUCUCCAUGUUUCUUCUCUUUUCUUUUUUUUUCAUUUAUUUAUUUUUAUUUUACGUGCAUUGGUGUUUUGCCUGCGUGCGUGUCUGUGUGAGGCUGUCAAUUCUUAGAGUUACAGACAGUUGUGAGCUGCCCUGUGGUUGCUGGGAAAUUGAACCCAAGUCCUCUGGAAGGGCAGUCAGUACUCCUAACCGCUGAGCCAUCUCUCCAACACCUUCACCAUUCAACAGCCUCCAGCACAACCCUGGUCACAGGGAACUCUCAGUAGAUGCCACCCUGUCCCUUUUCUUUAGAUUCCUCAGUUUGACAGAGGGUUAUAGGAAUCUUUCUGCCAGUAAGUAAAGAACACACACACACACACACCACCCUUUUCAAAGCCCAGCGGUAAUGAAGUCUAGUGAAGAGACUGUGGGCUUUGUGUAAGAUCAGCUCUACCAUGUGCAGCUGAGUGAUCCAGGCAUAUCAGACAACUCCGGGCCUCGGUUUUCUCAUCCAGUGGAACUAAUAGAAAACAGUCUCAGCAUUAGAUUACAUGCGGGAGAAAGACUGCAAACAUAUCUAAUAGUCAGCAGGCAAGUUUGUUUGUUUGUCUGUCUGUCUGUCUGUUUGUUUGAGAUAGGAUCUCACUAUUAUCCCUA